CUCUGUCACAUUUUAUCCUAAGCACCAGCCAUCGUUUGAGAUUCUCAAGAAGUUUCAAUUCUGCAUCUUGCCGUUGCAACAAUGCUUCAUGGGAACUUUUACCUUGGAGGCUAGAAGAGAAUCCCAUCUAAACAAACAAAGCUGCUCAUUUCACUUAGAACUCCUCCGUCAUGAGUUCCUUUCAGCAUGGAUGUUGAAUUCAAAGGGUGAUGGCUAAAGGAAAUAUGUCCGACACUUGAUUAAAAAUUCACGCCCGAAGCGAUAGUUGGCUCUUCAAUCAGGUGUGUUGGGUACACCUUUUACAAAACUUGGCUGCUGCUGCUGCAAGAGAGAGAGAGACUAUAUAAAACACUCCGGACGACAAACCUUUUUGGCUAGCGGCUUCGCAAUAAAAACUUCCCCGAUAAAAUGCACACAACAGCUCUACAUACGUAAUCCCAACGCCCACAACUCACAACCAAAGAGAGAUAAAAAUGUGAAUGUUGUGUGCUCACCUGCAAUGAUGACAACAAAACCCGCAUCUGGGAUUGGCCUGCCGUAAGCUAUGUUUUUUUUUCCUGCUUUUUUUUAUCUAUGUAAUUUCGCUGCCAUCUAUUAAGUUUCUCUUGAAGCUCGAUUACAAUGAAUAAGUGACCGAAACCGGAGGUAUCCAGAAGAA